UAUAGGUAUAUGCGGUCCUAAAGGGUAUAUGGUUUUUCAGCCGUUUUAGUCAUAAAUAGGGUAUCAAAUAUGGAUUACGCGCGAAUAUUGUCACGACACCAACUCGCGCGGGUCACGCGCGAGAUGAGUGAACUCUCCCACCAUUCUUUGCAACCACAGGUCGUCCAUGUUGUUGAACCGCCAAAGUUGAAAGAGGCUGAAAAAAGGCAGACUAAAAGGGCUGAACUUCGCUUGGAGCUGGAGAACUCUGUUGGCGAGCGAUUGAACUCGGAUUGCAGCUGAAGACAAAAUACCUGAGGACAAGACAGGAGGAGGAUACUAUCCACAAGCUUACUCUUACUAGAAUGAUGAUAAUUUUUUUUUUUUUUUUUUUUUUGCAAUCCAGGACCAGGUAAACACUUGUGUUCUUAUGCAAUGAUCAAAUCAAGACUUAACCUGGUUCAUUCAGGGGAAUGCCCCAAGGGCAUCCCUACAGGGUGCUCAAGUCAUCAAAUUCUACAGCAGAAAAAUAAUUAAAAUGCACCACCAUUUUUUUUGCUUUUUUAGUUAAUGCACUAUUAUUACAGGAUCCAAAAUAGUCAGGGAAAUUUUUGUUUUUCAAAAUCAGGGAAAGUUCACCUGGGGAAUAAAUGGAGAAAAUGGGAAGGUUCCCUUUUAUACUGUACCUUUGCAAAAAAAAAAUAACUAGACCAAACUACUGAACUAAUUCCAUUCAAAUUAAUACUUAUAGUAUGACACACUUUCAAAAAGUGACCACCAAACUAACUACAGUGUAAGAACGGACAUUACUCAACUUAUACCAGCAACUACUCACCCCUACAGUAGUCACUACGGUAUUUCUUGACCUCAACAGAACUCACAGGAUGUUCUUCAAUGAGCCUCAACACAAACUUCACCUAAAGUAAACCAGUUGAAUCAGACCAUAACUGAUCAGUCUCUGAUUACUACCUUUUUAUAAUGGCUUGACAGGUUCUCAAAGCAUCAGUGCUUUUACACUAGACAAACUACUUAAUGAAACUUGUCCACUUUUUUUCUUUGUGGUUGGCAACUUGACAGUUGUUCCUUUGGGCACCUCAGAAUGGGACAUACUGUAAUGACUUCCUCAAUCCACCCCCCUCCCCCAACUCUUCAACCCUUUCAUGAUUCA